rnacentral:ribozyme from 1 species
AUUCUUCCAUUAAGUGUUUUUUUUUUCUUUUCAUCUUUGUCCAACAAUUUAAAAAGCGAAGUAAUGUGAGGAUGUGCACUUUCAAAAGGUAACACUAACGGCAAA